rnacentral:misc_RNA from 1 species
GACAGAAUUAAGAACGAUAUUUUUAAUAUGACGAGUUUCAAAAUAGAAAUGAUGUUAUUUGCUGUCAAGUCUGACUAUAUAUAUAUAUAAUCAGUAACAAAGGCACAAGUUAUUCCUAAACCUGUUUGGCAAAUUGAUGAGUGAGACUACAGAGCACUGAGCUAGCCUAAGUUGCGCACAUGAGUAUACAGAAGAAUCUCUAUCUCUAAACUUCAUCUUCAUCAAGCACGACGCACAUCUGGCAUUCCAGGACAGACACAGGAUUGGCAUAAGUGCAAAGAUCACAAAACCAAUAAUCUUCUACUUCAUCCCUCGAGCUGCUUGCCUCAUGGGAGACCACAUCAGAUAGGCCAUUCUCCAAUGCUAUUACCAGCUUCUCAAAGUAAUUUCCAGUUACAGUGGUAAGGCCAAGUAGCAUUGUCCGGAAUUUAAUGAAAUCCUUUGAUAGACCAUCAGAAUCAAGAAACUGUUCCAGCUCUUUCUCCGCACAAUUAUGAAGUUUUUCCAGUCCAGACUCUGCCUCCCCUUGCAAGUACUCAAAAAACUGUUUCUUAGCAAGCUCAUUUUCAGGCAGGUAGUAUCCAUAUGCAUAACUCCAUUCCAGCACUCGCCUACAUUCAACCACCUGCAGCCAUGCCUUUGUUAUGAAAUCCAAGUUGUCUUCAGGUAUGCCUUGUAUCUCACUAAGCUUCUUGAAUUUCACAUUUUUCACGUGUUGAAAAUCUGCAAGUGCUUUUAGUUUCGACUUUCGAUUGGCAUCCCAUCGCUCAAAAUAAUGUGUAUAUUUCUCUAAAGAUUGCUUUGCCAUCUCCUUUUUCCUCACUACAUUAUCCAGAUAUCCAUUACAUUGUCUAUGAUUUUCAUACGAAGCAAGACAUAACCAGCAAAAGCUAUGUCUACAGACCCUGCAAGUCAUGUGCAUACAACCAUCAUUCUUUUCGAUUGGUCUCCUGCAGUUAGGACAAGGCUUGCAGUAGGUUAGUAUGUAAUUAACGUUUUCAGACUCCGACUGGUUCUUGGAAAUCCACUUCUUCACAGUCUCACAAUCCACAGGACGGUGACUUUCCUCAUCGCAAUUCCAGCAAAAACUAGUAAAACAUAGACAAGAAACAUCAAAGCUUUUAUCCCCAUCAAAAAACUCAAUAGCACAAUCACAGUCUCGACCAGGACACCACUUUAUCUUCCUCUUUUCUUGGAUGUAAGACCUAACAAGGCACCGAGCAUACUUGUUUCUAUCAUCUUUGGACACCAAUGAGUCGAUCAUGUCCUGACCCACAGCGACACGACAAGAUGGGUCAGGACAUCUGAGCAUCAAACACCCAAGACCAUCAUUAUUAAUAGAAGUGCUUAUAUAACUAGACCAGCAAUCGUUACAAUAAGGGUGGCCACAGGCAGCGGAGCUGAUCCUAUCAGGGGGGUAGGAAUCGAAACAAAUCCCACAAGUGAUAAUUGCAGAAUCAAUUGAGAAAAUUUC